GAAAUCUGGCAGCUUAACUGUGAGGCUUCUAGGGGAUACUGUUGGGCUUGGGGCCGGGAGAGGUGGGAGGUACCUUGGGGGUAGGGGUGAAAUCUUGUAAUCUUGGGGGGACCACCAGUGGCGAAGGCGUCC
rnacentral:rRNA from 1 species